rnacentral:rRNA from 1 species
AUUGAACGCUGGCGGCAGGCCUAACACAUGCAAGUCGAACGAGUGGCGGACGGGUGAGUAAUGUCUGGGCAACUGCCUGAUGGAGGGGGAUAACUACCGGACACGAUAGCUAAUACCGCAUACCAUCGGAUGUGCCCAGGUGGGAUUAGCUAGUAGGUGGGGUAACGGCUCACCUAGGCGCCGAUCCCUAGCUGGUCUGAGAGGAUGACCAGCCACACUGGAACUGAGACACGGUCCAGACUCCUACGGGAGGCAGCAGUGGGGAAUAUUGCACAAUGGGCGCAAGCCUGAUGCAGCCAUGCCGCGUGUAUGAAGAAGGCCUUCGGAUUGUAAAGUACUUUCAGCGGGGAGGCGUUACCCGCAGAAGAAGCACCGGCUAACUCCGUGCCAGCCGCCGCGGUAAUAC